rnacentral:tRNA from 1 species
GGUAAUAUGGCUCGAUGGUAGAGUGCUUGCCUUACAUGCAUGAGGCCCUGGGUUCGAUUCCUGAGUACCA